UACGGAGGGUGCGAGCGUUGUCCGGAAUCACUGGGCGUAAAGGCGCGUAGGCGGCCUGAUAAGUAGGGGGUGAAAUCCUGCGGCUUAACCGCAGGGCUGCCUUCUAAACUGUCAGGCUGGAGCACAGUAGAGGCAGGUGGAAUUCCCGGUGUAGCGGUGGAAUGCGUAGAGAUCGGGAAGAACACCAGUGGCGAAGGCGACUUACUGGACGAUUGUUGACGCUGAGGUGCGAAAGGCGUGGGGAGCAAACAGG
rnacentral:rRNA from 1 species